rnacentral:rRNA from 1 species
UGGGGAAUUUUGGACAAUGGGCGCAAGCCUGAUCCAGCAAUGCCGCGUGAGUGAAGAAGGCCUUCGGGUUGUAAAGCUCUUUCAGUCGAGAAGAAAAGGUUGUGACCAAUAAUCACAACUCAUGACGGUAUCGACAGAAGAAGCACCGGCUAACUACGUGCCAGCAGCCGCGGUAAUACGUAGGGUGCGAGCGUUAAUCGGAAUUACUGGGCGUAAAGGGUGCGCAGGCGGUUUUGUAAGUCAGAUGUGAAAUCCCCGGGCUUAACCUGGGAACUGCGUUUGAAACUACAAGACUAGAGUGUGGCAGAGGGGGGUGGAAUUCCAUGUGUAGCAGUGAAAUGCGUAGAGAUAUGGAAGAACAUCGAUGGCGAAGGCAGCCCCCUGGGUUAACACUGACGCUCAUGCACGAAAGCGUGGGGAGCAAACAGGAUUAGAUACCCUCGUAGUCCCUGAGCGGGCUGGCAAGGCGCAU